rnacentral:rRNA from 1 species
UACGUAGGUGGCGAGCGUUGUCCGGAUUUACUGGGCGUAAAGAGCGCGCAGGCGGUCGUUCAAGUCGCGUGUGAAAGCCCCCGGCUCAACUGGGGAGGGUCACGCGAUACUGAUCGACUCGAAGGCAGGAGAGGGAAGUGGAAUUCCCGGUGUAGUGGUGAAAUGCGUAGAUAUCGGGAGGAACACCAGUGGCGAAGGCGGCCAUCUGGACGGAUACUGACGCUGAGACGCGAAAGCGUGGGGAGCAAACAGG